rnacentral:rRNA from 1 species
UACGGAGGGUGCGAGCGUUGUCCGGAAUCAUUGGGCGUAAAGGGCGCGUAGGUGGCGGCUUAAGCGUGCGGUGAAAGCUCGGGGCUCAACCCCGAGUCGGCCGUGCGAACUGAGUCGCUUGAGCACUGUAGAGGCAGGCGGAAUUCCGGGUGUAGCGGUGGAAUGCGUAGAGAUCCGGAAGAACACCGGUGGCGAAGGCGGCGACCUGGUCCGAUACUGACGCUGAGGCGCGAAAGCGUGGGGAGCAAACAGG